UACGUAGGAGGCGAGCGUUGUCCGGAAUUACUGGGCGUAAAGGGCGCGUAGGCGGACAGUUUAGUCGGGGGUGAAAGCCCGGGGCUCAACCUCGGAAUUGCCUUCGAUACUGGCUGUCUUGAGUACGGGAGAGGUGUGUGGAACUCCGAGUGUAGAGGUGAAAUUCGUAGAUAUUCGGAAGAACACCAGUGGCGAAGGCGACACACUGGCCCGUUACUGACGCUGAGGCGCGAAAGCGUGGGGAGCAAACAGG
rnacentral:rRNA from 1 species